GACGAACGCUGGCGGCGUGCUUAACACAUGCAAGUCGAACGGAGCGAAUGAAAGCUUGCUUUUAUGAGCUUAGUGGCAAACGGGUGAGUAACACGUAGGCAAUCUGCCGACAGGAUGGGGACAACAUUCCGAAAGGAAUGCUAAUACCGAAUGAAGUCGAGGGAAGGCAUCUUCUCUCGAUGAAAGAUGGCCUCUAUAUAUAAGCUAUCACCUGUCGAUGGGCCUGCGUCUGAUUAGCUGGUAGGUGAGGUAACGGCUCACCUAGGCGACGAUCAGUAGCCGGUCUGAGAGGAUGAACGGCCACAUUGGGACUGAGACACGGCCCAGACUCCUACGGGAGGCAGCAGUGGGGAAUCUUCCGCAAUGGGCGCAAGCCUGACGGAGCAACGCCGCGUGAGUGAAGAAGGUCUUCGGAUCGUAAAGCUCUGUUGAUGGGGACGAACGUGCCUAAUGCGAAUAGUAUUAGGUAANGA
rnacentral:rRNA from 1 species